rnacentral:rRNA from 1 species
AGAGUUUGAUCCUGGCUCAGAAUCAACGCUGGCGGCGUGCCUAACACAUGCAAGUCGAACGAGAAAGUGGAGCAAUCCAUGAGUAAAGUGGCGACCGGGUGAGUAACACGUGACUAACCUACCUCCGAGUGGGGAAUAACUCCGGGAAACCGGGGCUAAUACCGCAUAACAUCGCAAGAUCAAAGCAGCAAUGCGCUUGGAGAGGGGGUCGCGGCUGAUUAGCUAGUUGGCGGGGUAACGGCCCACCAAGGCGAAGAUCGGUAUCCGGCCUGAGAGGGCGCACGGACACACUGGAACUGAAACACGGUCCAGACUCCUACGGGAGGCAGCAGUGGGGAAUUUUGCGCAAUGGGGGAAACCCUGACGCAGCAACGCCGCGUGGAGGAUGAAGCCCUUUGGGGCGUAAACUCCUUUCGACUCGGAAGAUUAUGACGGUACGAGUGGAAGAAGCACCGGCUAACUCUGUGCCAGCAGCCGCGGUAAUACAGAGGGUGCGAGCGUUGUUCGGAAUUAUUGGGCGUAAAGGGCGCGUAGGCGGUGCGGUAAGUCACCUGUGAAAUCUCCUGGCUUAACUGGGAGCCUGCAGGCGAAACUACCGUGCUGGAGUGUGGGAGAGGUGCGUGGAAUCCCGGUGUAGCGGUGAAAUGCGUAGAUAUCGGGAGGAACACCUGUGGCGAAAGCGGCGCACUGGACCAUAACUGACGCUGAGGCGCGAAAGCUAGGGGAGCAAACAGGAUUAGAUACCCUAGUAGUCC